rnacentral:misc_RNA from 1 species
GGGUUUUUAUCCAUAGCUAUUAGGAGGCAAUUUACGUAUUCGGCCUUGAUAGAGGCUGCCCAUCUACUUAGAGGUGGAUUGAAGUUAUCUCAAGUUGCAGGUCAUUUGAGUCUUGUCUUUUGUAGGCAAUUUGUGUUAUAUGUUUUGUUGAGCUUGAUUCUUUCAAGUGAUCUUGCUCUUUAGCUAUAGUAGUCCGAUAACCUCUGCUCAACGUAGUCCCUAGUAUUUCUGGUAAGGAUUGACUCUCUCACAAACCACAAACAGACACAUGCGCUUGCACAUUCUCACCAUCUACUUUCUUGUUUAGGAUUUUAAUUUUAAUCUUAA